CCGUAACAAUAACGGUCCUAAGGUAGCGAAAUUCCUUGUCGGGUAAGUUCCGACCUGCACGAAUGGCGUAACGAUGGCCACACUGUCUCCUCCUGAGACUCAGCGAAGUUGAAGUGGUUGUGAAGAUGCAAUCUCCCCCGCGGGUUAGACGGAAAGACCCCCAUGAACCUUUACUGUAGCUUUGCAUUGGACUUUGAACCGACUUGUGUAGGAUAGGUGGGAGGCUGUGAAGCCGGGACGCUAGUUCUGGUGGAGCCAACCUUGAAAUACCACCCUGGUUUGUUUGAGGUUCUAACCACGGCCCGUGAAUCCGGGUCUGGGACCGUGCAUGGUAGGCAGUUUGACUGGGGCGGUCUCCUCCUAAAGUGUAACGGAGGAGUACGAAGGUACGCUAGGUACGGUCGGACAUCGUGCUAAUAGUGCAAUGGCAAAAGCGUGCUUGACUGCGAGACCCCACACGUCGAGCAGGUACGAAAGUAGGUCAUAGUGAUCCGGUGGUUCUGUAUGGAAGGGCCAUCGCUCAACGGAUAAAAGGUACUCUGGGG
rnacentral:rRNA from 1 species